UUUCUGUAUCUCUUCUGUGACGCAUACUAUAGACCUUCUAAGCAUUUAUGGAGAAAAAGAGUGGGGCACCCUACCCUGGCUGUUCCACUGAAUAUACAGGCAUCCAUGGAAGAGUUCUAUUUUUGAUCUCUUGUUCCUGAACCAUUUUUUUGCAACUAAAAGAACUGAUGAGAAGUCAGCCUAAUCCUUUAAUAGAUUUUAACAAAAAGUGUGACAGGCUCAGCACGGCUAUAAUCUUUCUACCAGGUUUCAAGAUCCACUUACCUCUAGACCUCUGGCCAUUUGCUUAACAGAGGGUCCUGGCCACCACCAUCACUGCCUCAUUUCCUAAUAUCAUCUGCUGUUUUAGCCUCUCCCAAAAUGAGGACCAGCCUGUGACAUAACUUCACCUCAGGCAUCAUGCAAAGAGUUGGAACAGGUCCAGCAUGCAGGCUCAACUUGACCUGCAGAAAUUUCUCCAUCACUUCUGGACUCAAGUAAAGAACCACUGAGGUGUGAGACCUGGCUUUGCUAGCAUCUGCUAGGAAUAGCACAGCAGCAUCAGCCAGACACGUGGCCAAUAUAAUGUCUCCAUGGGACAAAUUUAUUAAUUAGAGGUAAGAAACAGGAUGAAUCUUCUACAUGUCUGAUAGAUCUCUCCAAGUUGAAGAAGUUCUGUAGGGCCUGCGCGGAGACAUCCAACAUGGCGGAGUAGCAGCUGUGUUAACAUGUGAAGCUGUGGUCAGCUUGGUAAAACACUUCCUGGCUUUGCUUUUCCUUCAUUCUCUACAUCACUUAAUUUUUCCCCCUAACUCCUUUUGGUCAAGAAUAAUAUCCCCCCAAUAUUUAGCAUGAAAGCUUUGUUUUAGGCACUGUGUCUAGGGAUAUGAGGUAAAGUUAACAUCAAAGGUUGUGUACCAUAAGUCAAAGGAGUUGGAGGAGUGGGUAGAGCAUAGAUGAUAGAUGUCAAGAAUGUUAAAUACAGCAGAAAGUUAGGGAUGAGUAGCAACAGGACAUUGAAUAGGUUGAUUAGGAAUUCUUGAGUGACAUUUCAGAAUGCUAUUUUAGUGCACUAGAUAUCAAAGGAAGGGAUUUGGUAUUAACCUAAAUUGCUUGUGAUUUAAAAAAAAAAUCCAACAUUAUAUUAUUCAGGAAAACCAUCUCUACUGUAUUGCUCUUUCUAAAUAGUAGAAAAUCGUAUUUUUUUCAUGAAAAUGAGACUUGCCAAAUUUGAAAAUGUAUAUAUGUAACUAGCUCAUCUACAGAUUAAUAUUUAGGAUUUCAUCAAAAGUAGAGAAACAAGGUUAAAUCAUAUAUUUAUUUAAUAAGUAACACAUUUCUUGAUUCCCAAAAAAAGACUAA